GCAGCGAUGCCGCGUGAGUGAAGAAGGCCCUUGGGUUGUAAAGCUCUUUCGUCGGGGAAGAAAAUGACUGUACCCGAAUAAGAAGGUCCGGCUAACUUCGUGCCAGCAGCCGCGGUAAUACGAAGGGACCUAGCGUAGUUCGGAAUUACUGGGCUUAAAGAGUUCGUAGGUGGUUGAAAUAGUUGGUGGUGAAAUCCCAGAGCUUAACUCUGGAACUGCCAUCAAAACUUUUCAGCUAGAGUAUGAUAGAGGAAAGCAGAAUUUCUAGUGUAGAGGUGAAAUUCGUAGAUAUUAGAAAGAAUACCAAUUGCGAAGGCAGCUUUCUGGAUCAUUACUGACACUGAGGAACGAAAGCAUGGGUAGCGAAGAGGAUUAGAUACCCUCGUAGUCCAUGCCGUAAACGAUGUGUGUUAGACGUUGGAAAUUUAUUUUCAGUGUCGCAGCGAAAGCGAUAAACACACCGCCUGGGGAGUACGACCGCAAGGUUAAAACUCAAAUGAAUUGACGGGGACCCGCACAAGUAGUGGAGCAUGUGGUUUAAUUCGAAGAUACGCGCAGAACCUUACCAACACUUGACAUGUUCGUCGCGACUUUAAGAGAUUAGAGUUUUCGGUUCGGCCGGACGAAACACAGGUGCUGCAUGGCUGUCGUCAGCUCGUGUCGUGAGAUGUUGGGUUAAGUCCCGCAACGAGCGCAACCCUCACUUUUAGUUGCCAUCAUUUAGUUGGGCACUCUGAAAGAACUGCCAGUGAUAAGCUGGAGGAAGGUGGGGAUGACGUCAAGUCC
rnacentral:rRNA from 1 species